UACGAAGGGGGCUAGCGUUGCUCGGAAUCACUGGGCGUAAAGCGCACGUAGGCGGAUUGUUAAGUCGGGGGUGAAAUCCUGGAGCUCAACUCCAGAACUGCCUUCGAUACUGGCGAUCUUGAGUCCGGGAGAGGUGAGUGGAACUCCGAGUGUAGAGGUGAAAUUCGUAGAUAUUCGGAAGAACACCAGUGGCGAAGGCGGCUCACUGGCUCGGUACUGACGCUGAGGUGCGAAAGCGUGGGGAGCAAACAGG
rnacentral:rRNA from 1 species